UACGUAGGGUGCAAGCGUUGUCCGGAAUUAUUGGGCGUAAAGAGCUCGUAGGCGGUUUGUCGCGUCUGCUGUGAAAACUCGGGGCUUAACUCCGGGCCUGCAGUGGGUACGGGCAGACUAGAGUGCGGUAGGGGAGACUGGAAUUCCUGGUGUAGCGGUGAAAUGCGCAGAUAUCAGGAGGAACACCGGUGGCGAAGGCGGGUCUCUGGGCCGAUACUGACGCUGAGGAGCGAAAGCGUGGGGGAGCAAACAGG
rnacentral:rRNA from 1 species